rnacentral:tRNA from 3 species
GCCCCCAUCGUCUAAUGGUCCAGGACAUCUCUCUUUCAAGGAGGCAGCGGGGGUUCGAAUCCCCCUGGGGGUA